GCGCGCGCACGCACGGGAGCGAGCGCGCCCCCCGCCCCGUCGAGGCUGCUGUCAGCGGUGACACAUCCCAGACUCCGGCGCUACUGUAGGGCAGAUUAAGUUUCUCAGGCGAAACCUCCCGUCCUUCCGCCCUCCGCCCUCCCUUCUUCCACCGACGUCCUCCCCAACCAGGGAGAAACCUUCCCCAGAUCCUGCUGCUGCAGCCCCACUUCGUCAGCUCCGGCGGGGAAAGUCCAGGCCGUCUUUCAGGGCUCCAGUUUAGGGACUUUCUCCCCGCCCUCCUAACCUCUCCGCUCCCCCAGAACAACCCGCCGUCUCAGUUCUCCUUCCUCGUCUCAGCCUCUUUCCCCCAAACGACGCCGAGAGAUCGACGCCGCUGAAACGCACCGGGAAGGGAAUUCAGGGUUGUUGUGGAAAUUACAUGAGGAGUGGUAAGAACCAUGCACACUACCUUGAGAUCCUUGGAGGAAAAGGCAGCAUAGCUCAAGGCCGUAAACACACCAUUAAGGUUUUGUUCAGAGGCAAGUGAAGGAAAGAACUCUAAAGAGACUUCUCCGUUCCAACGUUUCCAUUAAGUGACUAUUGAAGAGGCACUCGGGAAAAGUUGUCAGAUCCAUUCUGUUCACGAUCCGGUAGGAAUAAACAUCAAAAUAUGUACAUGUACCACUUA